UACGUAGGGGGCAAGCGUUGUCCGGAUUCAUUGGGCGUAAAGAGCGUGUAGGCGGCCAGGUAGGUCGGUUGUGAAAACUGGAGGCUCAACCUUCAGAGGUCGACCGAAACCAUCUGGCUAGAGUCCGGGAGAGGAGAGUGGAAUUCCAGGUGUAGCGGUGAAAUGCGUAGAUAUCUGGAGGAACACCGAUGGCGAAGGCAGGUCUCUGGGCAUUAACUGACGCUGAGGAGCGAAAGCAUGGGGAGCGAACAGG
rnacentral:rRNA from 1 species